AUAGCGUAUAUUAAAGUUGUUGCAGUUAAAAAGCUCGUAGUUGAACUUCAGACCUGGCUGGGCGGUCCGCCUAACGGCGUGUACUGUCUGGCUGGGCCUUACCUCUUGGUGAGCCGGCGUGCCCUUUAUUGGUGUGCGUCGGGGAACCAGGACUUUUACCUUGAGAAAAUUAGAGUGUUCAAAGCAGGCCUGUGCCCGAAUACAUUAGCAUGGAAUAAUAAAAUAGGACGUGCGGUUCUAUUUUGUUGGUUUCUAGAGUCGCCGUAAUGAUUAAUAGGGAUAGUUGGGGGCAUUGGUAUUGAGUCGCUAGAGGUGAAAUUCUUGGAUUGACUCAAGACCGACUAGUG
rnacentral:rRNA from 1 species